rnacentral:rRNA from 1 species
ACUGCUCAGUAACACGUGGCUAAUCUGCCCAUAGGACGAGAACAACCCCGGGAAACUGGGGCUAACUCUCGAUAGGCGAAGAACUCUGGAAUGAGUCUUUACCUAAAUAGUGCAACGUUAUCCUCGUUGCAUCGCCUAAGGAUGAGGCCGCGACCGAUCAGGUUGUUGGCGAGGUAAUGGCUCACCAAGCCUUUUACCGGUGCGGGCCGUGAGAGCGGGAGCCCGGAGAUGGGCACUGAGACAAGGGCCCAGGCCCUACGGGGCGCAGCAGUCGCGAAAACUUUGCAAUAAGCGAAAGCUUGACAGGGCUAUCCCGAGUGCCAUCCGCUGAGGAAGGCUUUUACCCAGUCUAGAACGCUGGGGGAAUAAGGAGAGGGCAAGUCUGGUGUCAGCCGCCGCGGUAAUACCAGCUCUCCGAGUGGUGUGGAUGUUUAUUGGGCCUAAAGCAUCCGUAGCUGGCUAGGUCAGUCCCUUGUUAAAUCCACCGAAUUAAUCGUUGGAUUGCGGGGGAUACUGCUUGGCUAGGGGACGAGAGAGGCAGACGGUAUUUUCGGGGUAGGGGUGAAAUCCUAUAAUCCCGGGAAGACCACCAGUGGCGAAGGCUGUCUGCUAGAACGCGCCCGACGGUGAGGGAUGAAAGCUGGGGGAGCGAACCGGAUUAGAUACCCGGGUAGUCCCAGCUGUAAACGAUGCAGACUAGGUGUUUGGACGGCCACGUGCCGUUCUAGUGCCGCAGGGAAGCUGUUAAGUCUGCCGCCUGGGGAGUACGAUCGCAAGAUUGGAACUUAAAGGAAUUGGCGGGGGAGCA